rnacentral:rRNA from 1 species
AUUGAACGCUGGCGGCAGGCUUAACACAUGCAAGUCGAGCGGAGAUGAGGUGCUUGCACCUUAUCUUAGCGGCGGACGGGUGAGUAAUGCUUAGGAAUCUGCCUAUUAGUGGGGGACAACAUUCCGAAAGGAAUGCUAAUACCGCAUACGCCCUACGGGGGAAAGCAGGGGAUCUUCGAACCUUGCGCUAAUAGAUGAGCCUAAGUCGGAUUAGCUAGUUGGUGGGGUAAAGGCCUACCAAGGCGACGAUCUGUAGCGGGUCUGAGAGGAUGAUCCGCCACACUGGGACUGAGACACGGCCCAGACUCCUACGGGAGGCAGCAGUGGGGAAUAUUGGACAAUGGGCGGAAGCCUGAUCCAGCCAUGCCGCGUGUGUGAAGAAGGCCUUUUGGUUGUAAAGCACUUUAAGCGAGGAGGAGGCUACCUGGAUUAAUACUCUAGGAUAGUGGACGUUACUCGCAGAAUAAGCACCGGCUAACUCUGUGACAGCCGCCGCGGCAAAAC